UACGUAGGUGGCAAGCGUUAUCCGGAAUUAUUGGGCGUAAAGAGCGCGCAGGUGGUUGAUUAAGUCUGAUGUGAAAGCCCACGGCUUAACCGUGGAGGGUCAUUGGAAACUGGUCGACUUGAGUGCAGAAGAGGGGAAGUGGAAUUCCAUGUGUAGCGGUGAAAUGCGUAGAGAUAUGGAGGAACACCAGUGGCGAAGGCGGCUUCCUGGUCUGUAACUGACACUGAGGCGCGAAAGCGUGGGGAGCAAACAGGAUUAGAUACCCCGGUA
rnacentral:rRNA from 1 species